rfam:Schistosoma mansoni strain Puerto Rico chromosome 7, complete genome
AUUCAACUGACGAGUUCCAAAUAGAACGAAACGAGAGUCAUGGAU